ACGCUCGACACCUACGAGGCAGCAGUGAGGAAUAUUGGUCAAUGGGCGCUAGCCUGAACCAGCCAAGUAGCGUGAAGGAUGAAGGCUCUAUGGGUCGUAAACUUCUUUUAUAUAAGAAUAAAGUGCAGUAUGUAUACUGUUUUGUAUGUAUUAUAUGAAUAAGGAUCGGCUAACUCCGUGCUAGCAGCCGCGGUAAUCUGAGGCGGGCUGGCAAGGC
rnacentral:rRNA from 1 species